rnacentral:rRNA from 1 species
CCAAUAGCGUAUAUUAAAGUUGUUGCAGUUAAAAAGCUCGUAGUUGAAUUUCGGGGUUAGUAGGUUGGUCAUGCCUCUGGUAUGUACUGGUCUCACUGAUUCCUCCUUCCUGAUGAACCGUAAUGCCAUUAAUUUGGUGUUGCGGGGAAUUUGGACUGUUACUUUGAAAAAAUUAGAGUGUUUAAAGCAGGCAUUUUGCUUGAAUACAUUAGCAUGGAAUAAUAAAAUAGGACGGCAUGAUUCUAUUUUGUUGGUUUCUAGGAUCACCGUAAUGAUUAAUAGGGAUAGUUGGGGGCAUUAGUAUUCAAUUGUCAGAGGUGAAAUUCUUGGAUUUAUUGAAGACUAACUACUGCGAAAGCAUUUGCCAAGGAUGUUUUCAUUAAUCAAGAACGAAAGUUAGGGGAUCGAAGACGAUCAGAUACCGUAGUAGUCUUAACCAUAAACUAUGCCGACUAGGAAUCAGACGAUGUUAAUUUUUUAAUGACUCGUUUGGCACCUUACG